rnacentral:rRNA from 1 species
ACACUCCUACGGGAGGCAGCAGUGGGGAAUUUUGGACAAUGGGCGAAAGCCUGAUCCAGCAAUGCCGCGUGAGUGAAGAAGGCCUUCGGGUUGUAAAGCUCUUUUGUCAGGGAAGAAACGGUGAGAGCUAAUAUCUCUUGCUAAUGACGGUACCUGAAGAAUAAGCACCGGCUAACUACGUGCCAGCAGCCGCGGUAAUACGUAGGGUGCAAGCGUUAAUCGGAAUUACUGGGCGUAAAGCGUGCGCAGGCGGUUUUGUAAGUCUGAUGUGAAAUCCCCGGGCUCAACCUGGGAAUUGCAUUGGGGACUGCAAGGCUAGAAUCUGGCAGAGGGGGGUAGAAUUCCACGUGUAGCAGUGAAAUGCGUAGAUAUGUGGAGGAACACCGAUGGCGAAGGCAGCCCCCUGGGUCAAGAUUGACGCUCAUGCACGAAAGCGUGGGGAGCAAACAGGAUUAGAAACCCGUGUAGUCCCAUG